GUGCUCACUUUGGCAGCACUAAAAUUAGAACAACACAGAGAAGAUUAGCAUGGCCCCUGUGCAAGGAUGACACGAAAAUGUGUGAAGCAUUCCAUAUUUUA
rnacentral:snRNA from 1 species